rnacentral:rRNA from 1 species
GUGGGGAAUCUUGCGCAAUGGGCGAAAGCCUGACGCAGCCAUGCCGCGUGGAUGAUGAAGGUCUUAGGAUUGUAAAAUCCUUUCACCGGUGAAGAUAAUGACUGUAGCCGGAGAAGAAGCCCCGGCUAACUUCGUGCCAGCAGCCGCGGUAAUACGAAGGGGGCUAGCGUUGCUCGGAUUUACUGGGCGUAAAGGGCGCGUAGGCGGACAUUUAAGUCAGGGGUGAAAUCCCGGGGCUCAACCUCGGAACUGCCUUUGAUACUGGGUGUCUUGAGUAUGAGAGAGGUGUGUGGAACUCCGAGUGUAGAGGUGAAAUUCGUAGAUAGUCGGAAGAACACCAGUGGCGAAGGCGACACACUGGCUCAUUACUGACGCUGAGGCGCGAAAGCGUGGGGAGCAAACAGGAUUAGAUACCCUUGUAGUCC